AGGUUUGUUUCCUUAUUUAUUUGUUUAUUAUUUUUAAUUGAUGCCAUUGGUUGGCUAGGCCUCAAGCCAGUAGUUGCAUGGUGGAGCUGGCUUAGCUUCAAGUAAGAGGCGGCAACGAAGGUUUUAUUGGUGGACCAAAAAGUGGGGUAAAUAAAUUUUGAAAAAAAAAAAAAUCCCAUUUAAGUAACAUCUCGCUUCUACACACGUGACAAUAUUGUAUGGAAAGGAAGCAUUUUCCUUUACUAGAAUAUUUGCGAUAGCUCUAGAGGGUUCAAAAUCUCGGCCGAGGCGGAUAGUCGUAUCCGCCUCGGCCAAGGCCGUUACAGGACCGAUCCCCGAGUCAAAAUCGGUGGAGAAAAUAAGCCGAUUUUCAUCUUCAUCCUUCAAACCUAAGCUUUUGCAUCCUCGUAUAAGUAUUUUUCACCGAUUUAAUGCCUUCAAACCUCAAGAUGAUGUGAGAAGCUGUCGUAGAGAGGUGAAAAGAGUAGUUUUUAGAGAAAUGAGUAUUGUGCAAAAAUGUUGUGAGAAGUUGUCUAAGAGUUGAACGGGUAUUGUGGAUAGAAGAUGAAAUGGCCAUUUCGUAAAAAUGGGUCUGUUGGCUGUUGCAGAGAAAUGUGAUAUGAAGGAGUUAUUUGGGUGUGUUGCAGAGAAACCAGAGAGAGAGAGAGGGUUUUUGAUAGAAAUGGGAGAAAGAGAGAGGAGGUUUUUGACCGGAGUUUGGGAUUAUCUAAAAUUUUGGAAUUAUAAAAAAUGAUUAUAAAUAUUUAAAUUUAUAUGAAAUAAAUAGAAUAUAAAUAUUAAUAUAAAAAUUCUAAAUUAAUGUAUAAAAGUAUUAAAACAUAGAUUUAUUUUUAAAACUUAUUUAUUUAAAAGAAAAUAAAAUUAAUAAAAAAAAUCGGUUUUAUUUAGAAUAUAUUUGAUAAGAAAAUUGAUAUUUAUAUUUUUAAAGGUGAUUUAUGGUCAUUUAAAAAAAAAAAAUCAAAAUAUUGAAUUUAAAUAAAUAUAUUAUAAAAAUGAUUUUUUUUACUAGUUUUAUCUAAUAUUUAAUAUGAGGUGAAAAAUAAAAAAGUUUUAAAUAUAUUUUAGUAUGCUUGUUUCAAUGUAUGAAUAAUGUUGUUUUUUAUAUAUUUAUUAAUUUUUUUAGUUUAUGUGAUUAUAUUUAUUUUUAUGAUAAUUUUAAUAAUUUAUUUACAAAUUUUGGAGUUCUUAGUACAUAUUUUACGUAUCGUUUGAUACUUAGACUGAUAUGCCUUGGGACCUUCUAAGUCGAUGAUCAAUACCAUGACUUUAAACCAUGCUAAAAGGUACGGUUGACCUCUAUGACCGUUUCUCAAAUACCAAUUAAGCUCUAAAAAGCAUUGGGAAUGUGUGAAAGAGUAAUGACAAUACCAACAAUAACAUUAUUUAUACUAAGCACAUUCUAUUAUACUUGUCUAAAUGGCCAAAUAUUUAAAUUCAUGAUCCCAAGUCUUUAAUGGCUAGUAUAAACCCAAAGAAAUACAUGGAGUAAAUCUAGUAAUAUGUGGAACAAAAUUAUCAACCUAAACUAGUUAAUUUAAUACACUAACAAUUUUACCCUUUGACAAUUUUAUGAUAAAAUAUUGAAUAACUAAAUCCUCCAAUACUCUCAAAAGGAGUUCUCAAAUCACAUAAUAUCUUGUCUUAACCAAACAUUCUAAGUCAUAUAAUCUUCAAUUAGCUUCUUACAAAAAUCCUAGAAAUUUUUGACAAUUUGUGACCUACACAUGCUCAAACAAUACUCAUUAAAAGUAAUGUGUGGGAAGAAUAUAUGACUAUACCUUGAUGAAAGAAAUGAAGGAAAGUCACUAUACGAAUCUUAUAUAGACCCCAGAAAAUAAAUGGAUUACUAUCACAAAAAGACUAUAUAUAUAAAGAAAGAGAGAGCUAGAGAGAGAACAACAUAACAUUUAUAGCAUAUAAAUACAUGACAUGUGCAAAAUAUACUAAAAUUAAGGGGUUCUACAUAUUCUCUCACCGGAAUCAUUUGAAAUAUAGGAUGGAUGCAUGCUUGGAAGGAAAGGAGAGUCCUCCUCCUCUAAAGCUUGUGUAAACUUGUGUUUGUGUGUAGGUGAGAGGUUGGGAUUCUCCGAUCAAUAAGGAACUCAGGCGCAGAUUCGAACAUGGCUCGCAAGCCAAUCUCAAAUGCGAGAAUGAAGGCUGCAAAAGAUCGGACUAUUGGUCAAACAAGUGCUCCUUCCACAAAUGGACUCGAAGCCCCUGAUCAGGAGGAGCUGGAAUCCUUUUUGCGCACCGCAUUCUAUAUAUGUAGUCAAAUUGAAGAAUUCGGGAAGAUGCGUCAUCAGGGAAGUGGAAGUGCUCCUCACACACAAGGAGUCGACGCUCCCGCUGAUGAAGAUGAAGAUGUGGAGCAGGAGAGAUUAAUGGACAGCCGCAUGUACAUGCAGGCGACUCGAGGACGUGUUGAUGAAUUUAUUCGAAUUUUACCCUCAAUAUCCUCUGAAAAGAAACUUCAACUCUCAGAAAUCCUCUCCCAAGUUAGCCCCCAGAACAACACAUGCCUGCACAUAGCAGUAAGCUUUGGACACCAUGAGCUUGCCGAGUACAUCGUGGGACUGUGUCCAGACCUUAUCAAAAUGACAAACUCCAAAGGCGACACUGCACUUCAUAUUGCUGCUAGAAAAAAGGAUUUAUCUUUCGUUAAGUUUGGCAUGGAUUCAUGUCUUUCUGGAAGUGGCGCAUCCCGAGAUGUAGAGCAGGCUGAGCACUCAUUGCUGAGAAUUGUUAACAAAGAAGGAAAUACAGUGUUGCAUGAGGCACUGAUAAACCGUUGCAAACAAGAAGAGGUGGUGGAGAUCCUUAUUAAGGCAGAUCCACAAGUGGCUUAUGAUCCGAAUAAGGAGGGAAAGUCGCCAUUGUAUCUAGCUGCAGAAGCACACUACUUCCAUGUCGUCGAGGCUAUUGGAAAAUCUAAAGUUGAGGAGCACAUGAACAUUAACAGAGACCGCGAAGCCAAGCCGGCAGUCCAUGGUGCCAUUCUGGGAAAGAGUAAAGGUAUGACCCGCCCCUUUCUCAAUCUCCAUUUAAUUCUCCUGCUCUUCUUCUUCUUCUUCAAACUUAAAAAAACACCAUUUCCAAUGAUCUUGAGAAGGAAAUGAUUCAAGCUCACCACUUCAUGGCACUUUAAUAAUCUGUUGUUUAAUUACUAACCUCAUCUUUUCCUAUUAGACAACAAAAGGAAAAAAAAAAAAAAAAAAGAAGCUACCCACUGACUCAGCUCUACGGUAUCAAUCCGAGGUGGCACAGAAUUGUAUAUUGUCAUCUGCUAAAAAAAUUUCUCAAAAUUUUAUAUUGCUUGAAUAUUUUAAGAUAUAUAUAUGGAUGUCUAAAAUCAGAUGAGUGAAAGUGAUAUAUUAAUAAUAAUAAUUACAUAAAAAAAAAAAAAAAAAAAAUUAAAGGAUGGCCGUGAUACAACCCCAUGCUUUCAAAAGCCUCCUUUAAUUAUAAAUUCCCUCUUUGGUUUUUAAACAUUCUGUAAAUUUUGUUAAUUUGUUAUUGCCCUUAUCAUCCUCUUAAUAAUAUUGCAGUUAUAUUUGAUUCUCAUAGUUUAAAAAAAAAAGGAAUUAUUAAGGAAAAUGAUUUUCUAAUGUGUUGUUUUAUCAUGAAAAAUAUGAAAGAAAGUGAAAUAUAAUUAAAAUUAAUAAAAAACUUAUAAUUUAAAAUUAUUUAAUUUUUAUAUAGAAUAAUUAAAUAAGUAAAACGAAUUUAAAGUAAUAUAUAAAAAUAACUUAUUUAUUUAAAAUCUAUUAUUUAUUUAUUUUUUAUUUUUCUCCUUUAUUUUCUUAUUUAUUUUCUUUUCUUCGCAUAUUCCCUCAAACUUUCCCACCAAACAUAACCUAAGGUUAUGUUUGGUUCCUGGAAAAUAAUAAGGAAAGAAAAAAAAUGUAAAGAAAAAUGAUUUUUUCAUGUUUGGUUGUCCUAUGAAAAAUAAAUAAGAAAAUCAAAUAUAAUUAAAACUAAUUAAAAACCUAUGUAUUUUAAAAUUAUUUAAUCUUUAUAUUAAUGAGUUAAAAUAAAUAAAAUGAGUUUGAAGUAAAAAAUAAAAAUAACUUAUCAACUUUUAAUCCAUUUUUUAUUUUCCUUCACUUUUUCUUUCCCUUGCAUUUUCCCUCAAAUUUUACUAAGAACCAAACAUAGCCUAAAUGAUCACUUGAAGUCAAUCCCAAACUAUCCAAACAAUUUUUCUUUCUUUGCUCUUUUUCUUGUAGCUCUUUUUGCCCCCCUUUAUUUAAACCAGCCAAUAUGCACACAAUAAAGCCACAACAGCAAAUUUUCUUUAGUUAAUUUUAAAAUUUUGUGAUUUAGAAAAGAAAAUUAAGAAUUAGGAGUGGGUUUUUGAAGAAGAAUAAGAAGUUGGCAAACUAGGAUUAGGGUUUUGAAAACAAAGAUGAAGAAUAUUUACAAGGACGGGUUUGGGCCGGAUAGAGGAGUUAUAAACAUUAUUGAUCUCCCAUAAAUUAAUAAAAAUUUUAAUUUUUUAGGAACAGGGAAUAUUGAAGCAAAAGCUGAAAAAAAAAAAAAAAAAAAGCCAAUGGACGUUUUCUAUAAUUAUUUCAACAGAAAAACAUAAAUGUGUUCUCAUUUUAAUCUCUUUUAUAUAUGAUGAAAAAAUGCCAGAGAUGUUGGAAAAAAUACUAGCCCUGAAGCUCGUCCACCAAAAAGAUGAACAGGGAAGGACUCCACUUCAUUAUGCAGCAUCGAUUGGAUAUCUUGAAGGAGUUCAAAUGUUGUUAGACCAAUCUAACUUUGAUCGAUAUCAAAGGGACGACGAAGGCUUCUUACCCAUCCAUAUUGCAUCAAUGAGAGGCUAUGUAGACAUCGUCAAAGAGUUGCUCCAGAUCUCCUCUGACUCAAUAGAAUUGCUUAGCAAACACGGUGAGAACAUUCUUCAUGUGGCAGCCAAGUAUGGUAAAGAUAAUGUAGUCGAUUUUGUGCUGAAAAAAAAAGGGGUUGAGAACCUUAUAAAUGAGAAGGACAAAGGUGGAAACACGCCACUGCAUUUGGCUACCAGGCAUGCACAUCCUAAGGUCGUAAACUAUUUAACAUGGGAUAAAAGAGUUGAUGUGAAUCUUGUGAAUAAUGAAGGCCAGACUGCUUUCGACAUUGCUGUAUCAGUGGAGCAUCCAACUUCAUUUCACCAGGUAUAUAUGACGAUUUGCAUCUUGUUUUCUGAAUUAAGGGUACUACUAUUGGUUCCACCUUGAACUGCAUGCAUUGUUAAUGCUAUGGCAUUUUCCUUCUUAGAUGCAUGCAUGUGAAUUAUUGAAAGGAUCAAUCAGGACAACAUAGUUUGUAUUUCUUUCCUAGAAGGACCGACUGAUAUUAAUAAGACCUAGUUCAACUAAAAGAAGAUCAAUUUGAUCCCAUGAUAUCCUAAAAGUCAAGAAAAUUAUGGAGCCUAACUCAAUCACCAUCACCCUCGCCCAGAUUAGGGCGACUCAACCAAGGUUAGGCUAGGUUUCUCCAGCAAGUGCAUAUACUCUUGAUGCCCGGAAAGACUUAUGGGAAUAAUUUUUUGCAUCAUACUAAAAAGUUUUCAGUGUAGAGAACUGCUAUAUCAUGUGCGCUUGUGGUUGCUCUCUUGCUGCUUCACGUUGCUUAAUUUCGUACUUCUUGUGGGUGUUCAUUGAAUUUAUAGGGAAAAGAGAAUGGCUUCCCAACAAAAUAUUUCGAAACCCAACUCAUGGAAUUAUAGUCUACUUAUACUUUCUAUAGUUAUUGUUACGACGCAUACAUUUGAUUUUCUUUCUUUCUCACGAUUGCAUUAACAGCAACAUUUUUAUCUCUACCACGCAGAGACUAGUUUGGACAGCACUCAAGUCUUAUGGUGCACGACCAGCCGGAAAUUCAAAGGUCCCACCAAAACCGUCUAAAUCACCUAAUACGGACGAGUACAAGGACAGGGUAAACACUCUUUUGUUGGUUUCGACCCUUGUUGCCACCGUGACAUUUGCUGCUGGUUUUACCAUUCCGGGAGGCUACAACAGCUCUGAUCCAGGUGCCGGCUUGGCUAUCUUUCUGAUGAGAAAUAUGUUCCAUAUGUUCGUCAUCUGCAAUACCAUUGCUAUGUAUACCGCCAUCCUCGCGGCAAUCAUCCUCAUCUGGGCACAGUUAGGUGAUCUCAAUUUGAUGGAUACUGCCUUCACAUGGGCAUUGCCAUUCUUGGGGCUGGCCCUUUAUGCAAUGUCCUUGGGCUUCAUGGCAGGUGUUUCCUUGGUGAUCAGUAAUCUUCAUUGGCUUGCAAUUGUUGUCUUCAUUAUUGGAACCAUCUGCCUUGUCAGUCUCCCAGUACCCUUUCUUUUACUCUUCCUCCCAAGUGAGUCUACUAAUCAUAUCCUUAGGUACAUCUCCUAUUAUCCGUUCCUUAUACUGGUAUGGGCAUCUGAAAGCUCCGAAAUCAAACAGGAAGAUUAGCUUGCCCUGUUGAUGAUGUAUAUUUUAUAGACCGUAAAAGCAACUCUUUUUUUGGUAACUCAUAUUUUAGUAAACCUUAAGAACCUAAAUUCCCCACGUGUUUGACAUAGAUAGGAAAUUUUGAACCUAAUCUUAACUUGAGUUUGAUGCUAGUCGCACGUAUUGAUGACGGAUUUGAUGGACAUUACGUUCAAACCCGCUAAAAGACUCAAACCCACGUAACUUUGAAUUGGUUAAAAUAAUUUUAUAAAGUGAAACGAUUAAACUUCUUACUUUAUGGGAUUGGUGUUUGUGCCUCCAAAUAGUUUCCAAGAUGUUCCAAGCGAGUUUGGAGAAGAGUGUUAGGAUUUCCUAUAAUUAUGCAUAAUAAUUAUAAGUCUAAUUCUUACAGAACAAUCAUAACCCUAGUCUUAGAACUUUGUGAUUUUCACAAAGUAAAUAAAUAAUUAAAAAAAAGAGUUAUUAAAUUCUAACUUUUGAACAAUAUCUAAAAAAAUAAAGUUUAAACCAAAAGCCCUAAUAAUAUCAAAAUCUUAUCCUAAUUAUCAUUCUUUGCCUGAACAAAAGAUACCCGAAAAAUUGUUAAUAAAGGGAAAUGAGCUUAAAACCUAAUAAGAAAUAUUAAUACAGUUUCAUGGAUAAAAUAUUUUUAAUAAAGAUUAUAAAUAGAAUAUAUAAUGUAUAAUCAUUUUUAUAAAUAAAAAAAUUUUAGUUCAAACAUGUAAUACAUUCAAACUUUUCAACAAAACAAUUUUAUAUCAAUGUCAAAACAAUUUUAUAUUAAAUUCAAAUAAAAUAUAUUCACAAUAUUUUUACUCUGGCUAUCAUUUUAUCAAAUAGUGCUCAAUUAUGUAAGACUUUACAAAUGAGUGGCUAGUCUUAAAUUUGUUUCUUUUAAGACGAAGCCAAAUACUACUAAUAUUAGUAAUCUCUAACCAAACGUAUAAAGAUUGGAGUUCAAAUCAAUUACAUUCUUUAUCAUAAAAUAUAAAUGUCAACUAUUAUAUUUCAUUGAUAGGGGUUAAAAAGUCAACUAUCGUAUCCAAUUGAUAAGGGCUAAAAAGUCGACUAUUAUAUCAUGUUGCCUAUGGCCAAACAAAGCAAAGUCAAACACUUUGUUUUAUUUAUUCAAACUUAUAAAAAUAUAAUAUUUUCACGUGUUUAUGUUAUAAACAAAAGAAAAGGUCUUAAUAUAUUUUUCAUACAAAAUAUAUUUGAUUAAUGCAUAAAAACAAAAAUAACAUUUUACACAUUUUAAAAUAACAUAUUAAAAUAAAAUCAUUUUUUUUUUACAAAAUCUAUAUUAAUUUCCCUGACCUUAAAAAACACUUAAAAUCCUUGAAGAAUUUAAUUCUGUAUAAACAACUUCUCAUCUAAUAACAUAAGAAAAACAAUAUUUAUUACUAUUAACUAUUUGAGUAAAAUUAUAAGUUUGAUAAUCCUAAAAAUUUAUAAAUUAAUAUUAAUAUUUAUAAGUAUCAAUGAUAAUUUUAUUAAUAUAUUCUUUAUUUAAGUAAAAUUAAUAAAUUUCUAAUUUAUAAAAAAAAUUUUCUCAAAUUUAAUUCUAAAAAAUAAAAAUACAUUACUAAUUUAAUUAAACUACAAUUUUUAUUUCAUUAAUUAAAUUUUAUUUAUUUAUUAACUUAACAUCCAUCCUCAUUAGCACUAUUAUACCAUUAACUAACCUUGUAGUUCACCCAACGACUCUCAACACCUAAUUAAUAUUAUAUGUGUUUUCCUCGUUCUCCCAAUAAAGGUAGGACUCGCUCACUUAUCUUUUUCUUAUUUUAUUUCUUUUCUUUCUUGCACAAACCACACUCAUGGCUACAUUCCUUUUUUUUUUUUUCCUACACACUUCCAAAAAUCACACCGUACACACUCGCCAAGAACCAAAAGCUAAUUUUUUUUUAAACACCCAAAUUCUUUUUCUUUUUUUUUCUCUUUUAUGUUGUCAUACCAAAUAAGAAAAAUUAUUUGGUAACAUACCAAAUCCAUUUUUUCUUUUUCUCAAUACCCUAAGCAUUUAAUAUAUAUAUAUAUAUAUAUAUAUAUAUAUAUAUAUAUAUAUAUAUAUAUAUAUAUAUAUAUAUAUAUAUAUAUAUAUAAAUAAAAACAAAAACUAUAAAAUAAUGAAAUGGUUAAAAAUUUUGAAAUUAAAAAAAAUAAAUAAAGACAGAGAAAGAGAAUAAAAAAAANNNNNNNNNNNNNNNNNNNNNNNNNNNNNNNNNNNNNNNNNNNNNNNNNNNNNNNNNNNNNNNNNNNNNNNNNNNNNNNNNNNNNNNNNNNNNNNNNNNNGCUCACAUAUCUCUUUCUCUUUUUUUAUUUUUUUUUUCUCGCACACAACACACACACGGAGACACUCUUUUUUUUUUUUUUCUCACACACACACAAAAAUCACACUCCACACACUCUCCAAGAAACAAAAAAUAUUUUUUUUUUAAACACACACACUCUUUUUCUUUUUUUUUCUCUUUUUUGUUGUCACACCAAAUAAAAAAAAAUAUUUUUUUACAUACCAAAAACAUUUUUUUUUUUUCUCUAUACCCCAAGCAUUUUAUAUAUAUAUAUAUAUAUAUAUAUAUAUAUAUAUAUAUAUAUAUAUAUAUAUAUAUAUAUAUAUAUAUAUAUAUAUAUAUAUAUAUAUUGAAGUUUUAAGAUAUAUUAUUUAUUUAUUAUUGUUUUAGAUCUACUAAAAAAAAUAUUCAGAAUUUCCUAUCUCUAUCAAUAAAUCAACAUUUAUUCAUAAAUUUUCACUCUUUUUUAUUUAGAAUUUAAAUAAACAAAUUAUAUUUUAAAUUGAGAUUUUUUUUAAAAUAUCUAAGUGUUUAAAAUUAAUUAUCAAAUCUAAAAUAUUAAUUUAAGGAUUAAAAUUCUACUUGGAAAACUAAUUUUCAAAUUCUAAACCUUUAAAUUUUCAAUCUAAAAUAAUAUUGUAGCAGUUAAAUGGAUGAAUAAUUGAAAAUCAUGACAUAAUUAAUGAUUUUUUAAAGAAGAAGAAGAAAACCCUAACUGUAUCCUAAAGCUCAAAAUAAAAUCUUAAAGUUAUAUUUGAUUCUCAUAGUUGAAAAAAAAGAAAAAGAAUUAUUAAGGAAAAUGAUUUUCUAAUAUGUUGUUUUAUCAUGAAAUAUAUGAAAGAAAGUGAAAUAUAAUUAAAAUUAAUAAGAAACUUAUAUAAUUUAAAAUUAUUUAAUUUUUAUCUAGAAUAGUUAAAUAAGUGAAAUGCAUUUGAAGUAAAAUAUAAAAACAAGGAAAAAGUGGAAUUUGAUUCANNNNNNNNNNNNNNNNNNNNNNNNNNNNNNNNNNNNNNNNNNNNNNNNNNNNNNNNNNNNNNNNNNNNNNNNNNNNNNNNNNNNNNNNNNNNNNNNNNNNUUCUUUUAGAUAUUUAUUAUUAUUAUUAUUAUUAUUAUUAUUAUUAUUAUUAUUAUUAUUAUUAUUAUUAUUAUUAUUAUUAUUAUUAUUAUUAUUUUAUUAAAAUGAGAAAAUCAUUUUUCUUAACAUUUUUUUCUUUACUUAGUAUUUUCUAUGGAACCAAACAUAACCUUUAUGUAUGAUGAAAAGACGUUGGAAAAACUACUAGCCAUGGAGCUAGUCGACCAAAAAGAUAAACAUGGAAGGACUUCACUUCAUUAUGCAGCAUCGAUUGGAUAUCUUGAAGGAGUUCAAACGCUCUUAGGGCAAUCUAACUUUGAUCAAUAUCAAAGGGACGACGAAGGCUUCUCACCCAUCCAUGUUGCAUCAAUGAGAGGCAAUGUAGACAUCGUCAAAGAGUUGCUCCAGGUCUCCUCUGGCUCAAUAGAAUUGCUUGGAAAACACAGUGAGAACAUUCUUCAUGUGGCAGCCAAGUAUGGUAAAGAUAAUGUUGUCAAUUUUGUGCUGAAAAAAAAGGCUUGAGAACCUUAUAAAUGAGAAGGACAAAGGUGGAAACACGCCACUGCAUUCGGCUACCAUGCAUGCACAUCCUAAGGUCGUAAACUAUUUAACAUGGGAUAAAAGAGUUGAUGUGAAUCUUGUGAAUAAUGAAGGUCAGACUGUUUUCGACAUUGCUGUAUCAGUGGAGCAUCCAACUUCAUUUCACCAGGUAUAUAUAUAUAUGACGAUUUUCAUCUUGUUUUCUGAAUUAAGGGUACUACUAUUGGUUUCACCUUGAACUGCAUGCGUUGUUAAUGCUAUGGCAUUUUCCUUCUUAGAUGCAUGCAUGUGAAUUAUUAAAAGGAUCAAUCAGGACAACAUAGUUUGUAUUUCUUUCCUAGAAGGACUGACUGAUAUUAAUAAGACCUAGUUCAACUAAAAAAAGAUCAAUUUGAUCCCAUGAUAUCCUAAAAGUCAAGAAAAUUAUGGAGCCUAACUCAAUCAUCGUCACCCUCGCCCAGAUUAGAGCGACUCAACCAAGGUUAGGCUAGGUUUCUCCAGCAAGUGCAUAUACUCUUGAUGUCGACAAAGACUUAUGGGAAUAAUUUUUUGCAUCAUACUAAAAAGUUUUCAGUGUAGAGAACUGCUAUAUCAUGUGCGCUUGUGGUUGCUCUCUUGCUGCUUCACGUUGCUUAAUUUCAUACUUCUAGUGAGUGUUCAUUGAAUUUAUAGGGAAAAGAUAAUGGCUUCCCAACAAAAUAUUUCGAAACCCAACUCAUGGAAUUAUAGUCUACUUAUACUUUCUAAAGUUAUUAUUACUGUUGGGAUUUAUUUGUUUCUGUUAAGGUUUGGCUUUGUCAAAGUUCUGUAAAUAAAUUCCUAUUAGUUAGGAACCAGUAGAUAGGUUUUGACUUUUUUAGUAACUAAUACCAUGUCUAUAGGUAUAAGACGUGGGCUCAGUAAGUGUUCAAUAAAACUGGGGGAUGUUAUUCCAGAUUUGUGAGUUCAUAGCUUUAUAGUUCUUGCUUUCAACAAUUACGAUGCAUACAUUUGAUUUUCUUUCUUUCUCACGAUUACAUUAACAGCAACAUUUUUAUCUCUACCUCGCAGAGACUAAUUUGGACAACACUCAAGUCUACUGGUGCACGACCAGCCGGAAAUUCAAAGGUCCCACCAAAACCACCUAAAUCACCUAAUACGGACCAGUACAAGGACAGGGUAAACACUCUCUUGUUGGUUUCGACCCUUGUUGCCACCGUGACAUUUGCUGCUGGUUUUACCAUGCCAGGAGGCUACAACAGCUCUGAUCCAAGUGCCGGCAUGGCUAUCUUUCUGAUGAGAAAUAUGUUCCAUAUGUUCGUCAUCUGCAAUACUAUUGCUAUGUAUACCUCCAUCCUCGUGGAAAAUGUCACGGAGGAUAGACUAAACAAAAUAUCAAAUGGUACUCAAUUAGAUGAGACUUUACAAAUAGAUGGGUAGCCUCAAAUUUAUUCCUUUUAAGAUAGACUAAACCAAACACUACUAAUACUAGUAAUCUCUAAUCAAACCUCUAAAAGUUGGGAUUCAAAUCAAUUACAUUCUUCACCACAAAAUAUAAAUGUCAACUAUUAUAUCUCUUUGAUAGGGGCUAAAAAGUCAAUUAUUAUAUCCGGUUGACAAGGGCCAAAAAGUCAACUAUUAUAUCCUGUUACCUAUGGCCAAAUAAACCAGAGUCAAACACUUUGUUUUAUUUAUUCAAACUUAUAAAAACAUAAUAUUUUCACAUGUUUAUGUUAUAAACAAAAGAAAAGGUUUUAAUAUAUUUUUCAUGCAAAAUAUAUUUGAUUUAUGCACGAAAAAAAAAAACAUUUUACACAUUUCAAAAUAACAUGUCAAAGGAAAAUCAUUUUCUUUUGCAAAAUCUGCAUUAAUUUCACUUACCUAAAAAAAACAUUUAGAAUCCUUGAAGAAUUUAAUUGUGUAUAAACAACUUUUCAUCUAAUAACAUAAGAAAAACAAUUAUUACUAUUAACUAUUUGAGUAAAAUUAUAAGUUUGAUAAUCCUAAAAAUUUACAUAUUAAUAUUAAUAUUUAUAAGUAUCAAUGAUAAUUUAAUUAAUUUAUUCCUUAUUUAAGUAAAAUUAAUAAAUUUCUAAUUUAUAUAAAACUUUUUCUCAAAUUUGAUUCUAAAAAAAUAUAUAUACAUUACUAAUUUAAUUAAACUACAAUUUUUAUUUCAUUAAUUAAAUUUUAUUUAUUUAUUAACUUAACAUCUAUCCUCAUUAGCAUUAUUAUACCAUCAACUAACCUUCUACUUCACCCAACUCUCAACACCUAAUUAAUAUUGUAUAUAUUUUCCUCAUUCUCCCAACAAAGGUUGGACCCGCUUACUUAUCUUUUUCUGAUUUUAUUUCUUUUCUUUCUUGCACAAACCAAGCUCAUGGCUACACUUCCAAAAAUCACACUGUACACACUCGCCAAGGAACCAAAAGCUAAUUUUUUUUAAACACCCAAAUUCUUUUUUUUUUUUUCCUUUUAUGUUGUCACAUAGGUACCAUCCCAAAUCCAUAAAUCCUUUUUUUCUUUUUCUCAAUACCCUAAGCAUAAUAUAAAUUGAAGAUUUAAGAUAUAUUAUUUAUUUAUUAUUGUUUUAGAUCUACUAAAAAAAUAUUCAGAAUUUCUUACCUUUAUCAAUAAAUCAACAUUUAUUCAUAAAUUUUCACUUUUUUUUAUUUAGAAUUUAAAUAAACAAAUUAUAUCCUAGAUUGAUAUUUUUUAAAGAAUAUUUAAGUGUUUAAAAUUAAUUAACAAAUCUAAAAUACUAAUUUAAGGGUUAAAAUUCUACUUGAAAAAUUAAUUUUCAAACCCUAAACCUCAAAAUCUUCAAUUUUAUAUUGUCUUGUGUUUUUUGAUCUUUUUCUAAUCUCGGUGUAAAAGGGUUUUUGUAUAGAGAAGUAAAAAAAAAAUCUAAUUUAUAUUUAAAGUUUUUAAUGUAAAAAGACCUUUCUAACCUUAUUAAAUUUUUUUUUUCUUUUACUCUAAUUUAUGGUUUUACGCCUAAAAUAAAAUGGGGGGGUGUUACAUAAGGAGCCUAAUAAUUUUUUAAAAUAAAUUGGAACAAAAAAAUCGUGCUAGAACCAAAAUUGUUUGAAAAUGACGACAUCAAUUUCUCGCCUACGCACAAUUAUACUUUUUAAAAUUUUCUUAUUAUGUAAAUGAGUUUCAAAUAAAAUCAUAUUUAAUGCACUAGAUUGGUUAGUAAGUCUAAUGAUUUUUUUAAAAAUAAUUUAGAACUUAAAAAUUGACUCUAUUAAUUUCAAAUUUGCAACCAAAAUAGUUUAAAAUAUCUCAAAUGUAUGUGUAUUAAAAAAAAAAAACUAAAUUAUUUAUAUAACUAGAAAGAGUAAAUUCAUAAUUUAUUUUAAAAAUAUAAUAUUAACUAUUAACAUUUUCUAAAAUAUUAUUAUUCAUUUUAAAAAUAUAUAUAUGGCUUGACAUUAUUAAAAUAUCAGUAUUUGUAUUUUAUAAUAUCCACUAUAUCAUUCUAUUUUUUAAAAAAAAAAUAUAUAUGAUUUUUAUUUUUAUUAUAAUGUUAGUUUCAUAUUUUAUGAAUAUUAUCUGUGUAUUAUUUAUUUAUUUCGUAUUGAUCACUUAGAAUUUAUAUAAUAUUGACAUUCAUUUUAAAAUAAAUUAAGGUUUGUGUGGCUAUUAUUAAAAUACUAUAAUUCAUUAUUAGAAAGUUUAAUAGAUUAUUAGUUAUUUUUUAUAGAAAAAUUGCUAUUAAAAUGUAAGAAAAAAAAAAAAAAAAGGUUUAAUAAAUAAAUAAAUAAAUAAAUAACCAUUUAGCAAGAGGAGUUUGUAUAGUGGGUGAGAAAAAUGAAAUAAAAGCCAUGACGCUAGGAGAUCUCUUUCAUAGCAAUGAAUCUAUUAUAUAAAGGAAAAAUGUGAAUGAACCAUUUGUUGUUAGAUGUUUUCCAUAAGAAAAGUAUGUUUGGAAACUUAAAUGAGUUGAACCUAUUUUUUUUUUUUUUAAAUAACUUUUAUUUACAAUAUUUUAUUUUUUAUUAUUUUUCAUAUUUACAUAAUUAUUAAAAAAAUAAUUAAAAUAUGUUCUUAAAAAACUCUAUGUUCUCAAAAAUAAUAUUUUAUAUUAAAAAUUAUCAAAUUUGUUUUCUAACGGGCAAGACAAUUCCAAACGUAUUCAUAAUUUUCAUAGUAAGAAAUGUGGUUCAAGAUUGGUUGGUGGUUAGUCACUAUCCAUUGAAUUCAUAGAAGUGAACGUUUAUACACCUCAUCUAGCAACAACGGUUCUAUCCUCAUCGUGUCAUGUGCAUAGCAUUUAAUUCACAUUUUAAAAUUCUGAAAUAGAAAAAUGAAAUGAAAAUUAAUAUAAUUUUGAUUUAUUAAUAUAUUUGGAUUAAUUGUUUUAUAGAAUGAGAAUAUGAAUAAAAAUUUUAUUAGUAUAGAAAUCAAAUUCCACUCUCAUGAGGAUUUUGAUUCCUUUGUUCUAUAUUAUAUUGAUUUACCUUAUAUUUGGUGGGUUGAAUAGUAUAUAAUAUGUAUAUCUUAGAAUAUCGUAUCCUCAUCCAUCUAACAUGCUAACGACAUUUAAAACUUUUUAUUUGUUACUCAAAAGUCACUUUUCUGUAAGACAACCAUUACGAAGCACGGCCACACAAUUUCAAUCCGCCCUCGACCGCACGUUCUGAUUGCAAGACCCACUGGCCGCCAAAGUCCCAUCUCUACUACCAGUAUCGUCAUCGCCUUCCCCCCUGGCCAAGCACAAGCGCUCAUCCUCGAUCGACACACCGCCACCGUUAUCAGGAUUCAGGACGAACAGCCACUACAGGUUUGUUCCCUUAUUUACUUGCUUAUUAUUUUUAAUUGAUGGCAUUGGUUGGCUUGGCCUCAAGCUAGAAGUUGCAUGGUCGAGCUGGCUUAGCUUCAAGUAAGAGGUGGCAACGAAGGUUUUAUUGGUGGAGAAAAAAGUGGGGAAAAUAAAUAUCGAAAAAAAAAAUCCCAUUUAAGUAACAUCUCACUUCUACACACUUAACAAUAUUGUAAUGGAAAGGAAACAUUUUCCUUUACUAGAAUAUUUGCGAUAGCUCUAGAGGGUUCAAAAUCUCGGCCGAGGCGGAUAUCCCAUUUAAGUAACAUCUCACUUCUACACACUUAAUAUUGUAAUGGAAAGGAAACAUUUUCCUUUACUAGAAUAUUUGCGAUAGCUCUAGAGGGUUCAAAAUCUCGGCCGAGGCGGACUGUUACCGGACCGAUACCCGAGUCAAAAUCGGUGGAGAAAAUAAGCCAAUUUUCAUCUUCAUCCUUCAAACCUAAGCUUUUGCAUCCUCGUAUAAGUAUUUUUUUUCACCGAUUUAAUGCCUUCAAACCUCAAGAUGAUGUGAGAAGCUGUCGUAGAGAGGUGAAAAGAGUAGUGUUUAGAGAAUGGGUAUUGUGAAAAAAUGUUGUGAGAAGGUGUCUAAGAGUUGAACGGGUAUUGUGGAUAGAAGAUGAAAUGGGCAUUUCGUAAAAAUUGGUCUGUUGGCUGUUGCAGAGAAAUGAGAUUGAGUUAUUUUGAGUGUGUUGCAGAGAGAGAGAGAGAGAGAGAGAGAGAGAGAGAGAGAGAGAGAGAGAGAGAGAGGUUUUUGAUAGAAAUGGGAGAAAGAGAGGAGGUUUUUGACCGGAGUUUGGGAUUAUCUAAAAUUUUG
rnacentral:lncRNA from 1 species